CCUGAGAUUUGAAGAGAAACAGCUGGAAUGCUACAGAGAGAAGAGUUCACGCUUCUAUCAGGAAAAACUGAACCCUGGUCACUUCAAAAACAACUGAACGACUUGAACAUUCUUAUCCAAAUGCCACAGUUUAAUGCAACAUUGCAUUCUUAAGUGAAGAUAAAUUGAUAAAAUAGAACUGCAGAAACAGAGAACUAAAGAGAUGGAGGCGAUACAGUCUGAUGGAAGAAAAUAGGCAUUUUGUAUUUAACUCAGAGUGCUUUGCAGAGAAAAAAAGGGAUAUCAGUUCGGGGUAUGAUCAUGAGAACUUUGAAUGCAGAAGAUGAAGCCAUGAUGGUGAAGUGCCAUGGAGACACAUGUAUUCAGAGGAGAUCUCUUAUUCCAUGAGACACAUAUAUCAUUGAAUGUCAUCCAUACUUAAUUUAAUCUCCACUUGAUUACAAAUAAGGAUGUCUCCAUUUUUACAUGUUCCCAAGACAGAAGACAUGACUGGAGGGUCAAGUUCUGAUUACUAAAUACUUCCUCUCAGAGGUUCUUUGUAUCACUCCCUCUCAUAUUUCCUGGGCUGUAACAAGGCAUAUGGUCAUAACUAACUUGACUUGAGAGUUUUUUAUAUUUCCCAUACUCUAAAUGUAGAACAG